CUGCAGCCUACGAGUGUCCAGCGAUAUACAGAAGACAAUGGAAAGAUCAUCGCGUUGCCAUGUCCGACCGAGGACCGUCCCUUCCUGAGGACGGAGGGAAACUCUCCUUCAUAUCACCACAGCGAUGCCUCUCCUCCCCUUUACUCAUUUACAGGCACAGAGAUGACCUGCGAGGACCUCGGCCCCUCGGCGUCCACGCCUACCUCAGUUCAUGAACUCAGGCCUGGAGAUAUCAAAGUGGUGGCUGCUCUGGGAGACUCUCUGACAGCAGGGAACGGUGUCGCGUCGAAGCCUAGCGACGUCCUGGACGUCCUGAGUCAGUACAGAGGUUUAU